rnacentral:rRNA from 4 species
GUUGAGCUAACCGGUACUAAUGAACCGUGAGGCUUAACCUUACAACGCCGAAGGUGUUU